rnacentral:rRNA from 1 species
UACGAAGGGGGGCGAGCGUUAUUCGGAAUUACUGGGCGUAAAGGGCGCGUAGGCGGCCUUCUAAGUCGAACGUGAAAUCCCCGGGCUCAACCCGGGAACUGCGUCCGAUACUGGAAGGCUUGAAUCCGGGAGAGGGAUGCGGAAUUCCAGGUGUAGCGGUGAAAUGCGUAGAUAUCUGGAGGAACACCGGUGGCGAAGGCGGCAUCCUGGACCGGCAUUGACGCUGAGGCGCGAAAGCCAGGGGAGCAAAGCGGG